UUAAGCGACUAAGCGUACACGGUGGAUGCCCUGGCAGUCAGAGGCGAUGAAGGACGUGCUAAUCUGCGAUAAGCGUCGGUGAGGUGAUAUGAACCGUUAUAACCGGCGAUUUCCGAAUGGGGAAACCCAGUGUGAUUCGUCACACUAUCAUUAACUGAAUCCAUAGGUUAAUGAGGCGAACCGGGGGAACUGAAACAUCUAAGUACCCCGAGGAAAAGAAAUCAACCGAGAUUCCCCCAGUAGCGGCGAGCGAACGGGGAGGAGCCCAGAGCCUGAAUCAGUGUGUGUGUUAGUGGAAGCGUCUGGAAAGGCGCGCGAUACAGGGUGACAGCCCCGUACACAAAAAUGCACAUAUUGUGAGCUCGAUGAGUAGGGCGGGACACGUGGUAUCCUGUCUGAAUAUGGGGGGACCAUCCUCCAAGGCUAAAUACUCCUGACUGACCGAUAGUGAACCAGUACCGUGAGGGAAAGGCGAAAAGAACCCCGGCGAGGGGAGUGAAAAAGAACCUGAAACCGUGUACGUACAAGCAGUGGGAGCCUCUUAAUGGGGUGACUGCGUACCUUUUGUAUAAUGGGUCAGCGACUUAUAUUCUGUAGCAAGGUUAACCGAAUAGGGGAGCCGAAGGGAAACCGAGUCUUAACUGGGCGUUAAGUUGCAGGGUAUAGACCCGAAACCCGGUGAUCUAGCCAUGGGCAGGUUGAAGGUUGGGUAACACUAACUGGAGGACCGAACCGACUAAUGUUGAAAAAUUAGCGGAUGACUUGUGGCUGGGGGUGAAAGGCCAAUCAAACCGGGAGAUAGCUGGUUCUCCCCGAAAGCUAUUUAGGUAGCGCCUCGUGAAUUCAUCUCCGGGGGUAGAGCACUGUUUCGGCAAGGGGGUCAUCCCGACUUACCAACCCGAUGCAAACUGCGAAUACCGGAGAAUGUUAUCACGGGAGACACACGGCGGGUGCUAACGUCCGUCGUGAAGAGGGAAACAACCCAGACCGCCAGCUAAGGUCCCAAAGUCAUGGUUAAGUGGGAAACGAUGUGGGAAGGCCCAGACAGCCAGGAUGUUGGCUUAGAAGCAGCCAUCAUUUAAAGAAAGCGUAAUAGCUCACUGGUCGAGUCGGCCUGCGCGGAAGAUGUAACGGGGCUAAACCAUGCACCGAAGCUGCGGCAGCGACACUAUGUGUUGUUGGGUAGGGGAGCGUUCUGUAAGCCUGUGAAGGUGGCCUGUGAGGGUUGCUGGAGGUAUCAGAAGUGCGAAUGCUGACAUAAGUAACGAUAAAGCGGGUGAAAAGCCCGCUCGCCGGAAGACCAAGGGUUCCUGUCCAACGUUAAUCGGGGCAGGGUGAGUCGACCCCUAAGGCGAGGCCGAAAGGCGUAGUCGAUGGGAAACAGGUUAAUAUUCCUGUACUUGGUGUUACUGCGAAGGGGGGACGGAGAAGGCUAUGUUGGCCGGGCGACGGUUGUCCCGGUUUAAGCGUGUAGGCUGGUUUUCCAGGCAAAUCCGGAAAAUCAAGGCUGAGGCGUGAUGACGAGGCACUACGGUGCUGAAGCGACAAAUGCCCUGCUUCCAGGAAAAGCCUCUAAGCAUCAGGUAACAUCAAAUCGUACCCCAAACCGACACAGGUGGUCAGGUAGAGAAUACCAAGGCGCUUGAGAGAACUCGGGUGAAGGAACUAGGCAAAAUGGUGCCGUAACUUCGGGAGAAGGCACGCUGAUAUGUAGGUGAAGCGACUUGCUCGUGGAGCUGAAAUCAGUCGAAGAUACCAGCUGGCUGCAACUGUUUAUUAAAAACACAGCACUGUGCAAACACGAAAGUGGACGUAUACGGUGUGACGCCUGCCCGGUGCCGGAAGGUUAAUUGAUGGGGUUAGCGGUAACGCGAAGCUCUUGAUCGAAGCCCCGGUAAACGGCGGCCGUAACUAUAACGGUCCUAAGGUAGCGAAAUUCCUUGUCGGGUAAGUUCCGACCUGCACGAAUGGCGUAAUGAUGGCCAGGCUGUCUCCACCCGAGACUCAGUGAAAUUGAACUCGCUGUGAAGAUGCAGUGUACCCGCGGCAAGACGGAAAGACCCCGUGAACCUUUACUAUAGCUUGACACUGAACAUUGAGCCUUGAUGUGUAGGAUAGGUGGGAGGCUUUGAAGUGUGGACGCCAGUCUGCAUGGAGCCGACCUUGAAAUACCACCCUUUAAUGUUUGAUGUUCUAACGUGGGCCCCUUACCGGGGUUGCGGACAGUGUCUGGUGGGUAGUUUGACUGGGGCGGUCUCCUCCUAAAGAGUAACGGAGGAGCACGAAGGUUGGCUAAUCCUGGUCGGACAUCAGGAGGUUAGUGCAAUGGCAUAAGCCAGCUUGACUGCGAGCGUGACGGCGCGAGCAGGUGCGAAAGCAGGUCAUAGUGAUCCGGUGGUUCUGAAUGGAAGGGCCAUCGCUCAACGGAUAAAAGGUACUCCGGGGAUAACAGGCUGAUACCGCCCAAGAGUUCAUAUCGACGGCGGUGUUUGGCACCUCGAUGUCGGCUCAUCACAUCCUGGGGCUGAAGUAGGUCCCAAGGGUAUGGCUGUUCGCCAUUUAAAGUGGUACGCGAGCUGGGUUUAGAACGUCGUGAGACAGUUCGGUCCCUAUCUGCCGUGGGCGCUGGAGAACUGAGGGGGGCUGCUCCUAGUACGAGAGGACCGGAGUGGACGCAUCACUGGUGUUCGGGUUGUCAUGCCAAUGGCACUGCCCGGUAGCUAAAUGCGGAAGAGAUAAGUGCUGAAAGCAUCUAAGCACGAAACUUGCCCCGAGAUGAGUUCUCCCUGACUCCUUGAGAGUCCUGAAGGAACGUUGAAGACGACGACGUUGAUAGGCCGGGUGUGUAAGCGCAGCGAUGCGUUGAGCUAACCGGUACUAAUGAACCGUGAGGCUUAACCU
rnacentral:rRNA from 2 species